CCAGACUCCUACGGGAGGCAGCAGUGGGGGAUAUUGCACAAUGGGGGGAACCCUGAUGCAGCGACGCCGCGUGGGUGAAGAAGCGCCUCGGCGCGUAAAGCCCUGUCAGCAGGGAAGAAAAUGACGGUACCUGACUAAGAAGCCCCGGCUAACUACGUGCCAGCAGCCGCGGUAAUACGUAGGGGGCAAGCGUUAUCCGGAUUUACUGGGUGUAAAGGGAGCGUAGGUGGCAUGGCAAGCCAGAAGUGAAAACCCGGGGCUUAACCCCGCGGAUUGCUUUUGGAACUGGCAGGCUGGAGUGCAGGAGGGGCAGGCGGAAUUCCUGGUGUAGCGGUGAACUGCGUAGAUAUCAGGAGGAACACCGGUGGCGAAGGCGGCCUGCUGGACUGUAACUGACACUGAGGCUCGAAAGCGUGGGGAGCAAACAGGAUUAGAUACCCUGGUAA
rnacentral:rRNA from 1 species